AAACAGAACUGCUAAUGCAUCUACUGUUUUUAAGUUUACAUGGUUGCCCAAACACUCAGACAGUUGGUGGGAAAAAUUGGUUUCUGGCUGAGCCAUUUCAGACUGUAAACUCAAAGAGCACAAGACUUUCAUUGAAGGAGGGAUCCAGAUCUGUAUCUUUUGAGUUCAGCAGGGCGGCACAUCAGCUGAACCCUUGUGUUUAGAUGACCAGGGCCAGUGGGCCCCUCUCCGGGGAACAUCACACCAGCUUUGAGAAGAUGAUCGUGUUAAACACUUAUUGUGGUAAUUAUGAUUAUGGUGUGCUUUUAUUUUUAUGCGGCAAUCUAAACUUUAUGCACUGGCAUUACAAUUGCAAAAAAGUCAGUUAUUAAACAGGUUUCCUGAACACUUCCCCAUUUACCAUUGUUUGGAUGCUUUGACCCAAAUUGGUUAAACCAGAAGCUGCUGUCAGACCCAAUGGGGCAAGAAUUGGACUUUUACUUUUACAAUUUUAUUGAUUUUUUUUUCUUUUUUUUUCUUUGUUUGACUUUUAACUGAAUUAUUUGGAUCUUUUAUUGAUUUUUUUUUUGUAUUUUAAUAUUGUAUUGCAAUAUACAAUAAAAAUACAUACAUAUUAAAUACA
ensembl:lncRNA